UGACGUCAUCGGUGACGAUGACGAUGCGGAUGCUGAUCACGUCAUAAGUGACGUCACUGAUGACGUUAUUGGCAUCCGCAUCGUCAUCGUCCCUGAUGACGUCAU
rnacentral:pre_miRNA from 1 species